rnacentral:lncRNA from 1 species
AAAAAUAAACUUAAAUCUUAAAACAUAAUAAAAUAGUAAAAUGAGUAGAAUAAAUUAAGGAAAUGCCUAAGUAAAAUAGUAGAAGAAAGUGCAUCAAAAUGCAUUGAUCAGUAGCCAACAAAACCAUAUCCAGGAGUCCCAACUUCAAUUCUUGUUGAUAAGAGUGUGGGAGUCAAAAAGGCUGCCAAACAAAGUUCGACAUGGCAGCUACUGAAGGAGAGACCCUUAGAAACCUGUUCCUGAACUAGGACG